rnacentral:lncRNA from 1 species
AAAUUUAGAACUAGACGGGACAUAAACUUUUGUGAGAGCUCGAUUUUCUCAAAAUCUUCUCAUAAAACUCUCGUCGUAUAGGCAAUACCAUACAAGCUCUACUCCAAAUAGGAACAUCUACAGACAAGACUAUUUCUAAGACAGGUAACUCUUGAAGAUUCUCCUAUGAAACCUAUUUUUGCAACUUGAGAAAUAAGUAGUAGGAAAAUUAUUUACAAGCAAAAAGUAAAGGAAUAUCAUUGCUUUCACGAAAAGAAAGUCAUCAGUAACAUAGAAAGUCUGUAGAUCAGACCAAAUACGUGUAUAAAAACACUCAAUUCACACUCUUCCCAAUCCCAUUACUUGAUCUACUCUACCCACAAUAUUGGCUCAUAACUGAAAGGGAAGAGUAGAAGAUAAAACAGGUAUGAGGUCUGAAUUUUCUUCUGUAAAAAUCUCAACCCACAUUGUAAUUUAGUCCAAUAAAUAUUGACAACAAAGGUGGAAGAUAGUACAGAUCUAUUGAUUUUCCAAUUUUCUUCAGUGAAUCCUCUGUUUGAAGGGAGAAAAAAAUGGCUGAGGUUUCUGCUAAGAGUUUCAUACCUGAAUCAUUNNN